UACAGAGGGUGCAAGCGUUAAUCGGAAUUACUGGGCGUAAAGCGCGUGUAGGCGGCUUGUUAUGUCGGGUGUGAAAGCCCUCAGCUUAACUGAGGAAGUGCGCCCGAAACUGGCAAGCUUGAGUGCCGGAGAGGAUAGCGGAACACCCGGUGUAGAGGUGAAAUUCGUAGAUAUCGGGUAGAACACCAGUGGCGAAGGCGGCUAUCUGGACGGACACUGACGCUGAGACGCGAAAGCGUGGGGAGCAAACAGG
rnacentral:rRNA from 1 species